GAUACCCUAUUAUUUUAAAUGUAAAGUUUUAGCUAUAAUGAUUGUUAGUUAUGUUCUUUAAAGUUAAAAGAUUUGGCGGUAUUUUAGUCUAUUCAGAGGAACCUGUUUUUUAAUUGAUAGUCCACGAUAGAUUUUACUUAAGCUUUGAAUUUACAUAUCGUCGUUUAUAAAGAUUUUAUUAGAAUUUUAAUUUUUAAUAUUUUUAAUUAAAAAUUAAUUCAGAUCAAGGUGUAGUUUAUGCUUAAGUUAAAAUGGGUUACAUUAGAUUUAUUUUUGGUUUUAAGGUUGAAAAUUUUAAAUAAAUUGGAUUUGAUAGUAAUUAUUAUACUUUUAAUUAGUGAUUUAGCUCUAAAAUAUGCACACAUCGCC
rnacentral:rRNA from 1 species